rnacentral:lncRNA from 1 species
UGAGGAUCAGAGAGGGAAAGUCACUUGCCCAAAGUCACCCAGCUGAACAGUGGUAGAGUUCAACUUUGAUCAUGAGAUGUCUGGCCCCAAGGUGGAGGCUUGCUCCUCUCUCAUGAGACUCCUUCCUUAUCAGGGUCAAAUGAAUGAAUGGAGGAUGUUAAAAGUGGGGUCUCUGAUGCCUUUGCCAGAUAAACCCCAGGCUCAUGGCUGGCGCCUGUUUUCUCAUUCUUACCUCAUUAAGAGUAGUAAUGAAAAACAUGCUCAGUGCUGACCGUGUGCCUGGGGGUGUUGUAGGCACUCCGCUUACUUUAAUUCAUUUAAUUUUCACAAUAACCUUGUUUUUACUUCUAGUUGUUAUAUGAAAAAACUGAGGCAAAGAGCAAUACAGAGAGUUGCAAAAAUUCAUACCGCUGGUCCAGGUUUGAACCAAACAGUCUGCACCUGGAGUCCUUGUUUGUAACCAUGGCACCCUGUCUUCACACAUAUCUCAUCGUGGAAUUCCAUCUUGUGUUAGGCAUGGCACUGAGCAGCUUCUUUUAAGAACAUAAUUUGUAAUUAUGUAAAUUACUAAUUCUACUUCAAAGUGCCACACAGCCUUCAUGUGAUAAAAUGAAGCAAUUGGUAAGUCUAAGCAUUGAGAAAAAACAUUAUUUUUUCCACUCCCAGCUCCAUUCCAACAGUUGGGACAGUGUUUUCUCUGUGCCUAUAGAAACCUCAGCUACUGUGCCGAG